GGCGGACGGGUGAGUAAUGUCUGGGAAACUGCCUGAUGGAGGGGGGAGUAACUACUGGAAACGGUAGCUAAUACCGCAUAACGUCGCAAGACCAAAGAGGGGGACCUUCGGGCCUCUUGCCAUCGGAUGUGCCCAGAUGGGAUUAGCUAGUAGGUGGGGUAACGGCUCACCUAGGCGACGAUCCCUAGCUGGUCUGAGAGGGUGAUCGGCCACAUUGGGACUGAGACACGGCCCAGACUCCUACGGGAGGCAGCAUG
rnacentral:rRNA from 1 species